rnacentral:rRNA from 1 species
UACGUAGGGUGCGAGCGUUAAUCGGAAUUACUGGGCGUAAAGCGUGCGCAGGCGGUUACAUAAGACAGAUGUGAAAUCCCCGGGCUCAACCUGGGAACUGCGUUUGUGACUGUGUGACUAGAGUACGGCAGAGGGGGGUGGAAUUCCUGGUGUAGCAGUGAAAUGCGUAGAUAUCAGGAGGAACAUCGAUGGCGAAGGCAGCCCCCUGGGCCUGUACUGACGCUCAUGCACGAAAGCGUGGGGAGCAAACAGG